UUUUCUUAUUACUUAUGCAGGGUGUGUUUCCUGUUUGGGCCUUGCUAUUCUGCUUACCUUACUGCAGACAGAAGGAACUGCCUGAUUUACAGUCUCUAAUUAUAUGAAACACCCACUAUUCUUAUGGAAACCAGAGAUGUGAUUCUUGCCUAGGAUUCAGCCACUAUAAGGAGACUGGAAGCAGGCGCGGCUGUCUGAGAAGAGAUGGGAGAAAGAGGACAUUGCUGCUGCUGUUGGGCUGUGUGUGUGGCCCGAGUAAGCCCCACCCACCACCUGUGAACACAGAGAGGAAGAGGAUACUGAGCUCCUGUGCAUUCUGGGAAUGAUAAAACCCUUCUGGGAGGACUUGUGGUAUUUUAAUCCUCAGCUCUGGAACUACAAAUCACAAAAUUACCAGAGCUCCGGAGAGCGAAAAAGAAGGAACUGUUCCUAGGCUAUGGGAAUUCGCAGAAAUGAAAGACACAUAUAGUGUAGCAGAUUGCUGUUGGGUUGAUUUGCCGCAGAAAGGCUGAGUAGCGGACAUCCCCUAGUUUGUGG